AGAAGGGAUUGUUUAUGAGGGUCAAGGAGCUGGAGGCCUGGGGAGGAGCUGGUGUUUCUGUUCAAGUUUGAGGGUCCUGGAGCUGGAGCCCAGGGGAGGAGCCAGUGCUGCCACUGAUGUCUUAGGGUCGUGGAGCUGAAGAUCCCAGAGGAGCCGGUGCUGCUAUUCUAGCUUGAGUUUCGUGGAGCUGGAGACCCAGGGAGAAGAUGGUGCUGCUGUUCUAAUUUAAGGAUCGUGAAACAGAAGACCCAGAAAGGAGCUGGUGCUGCCGCUGCUCAGAUCUGAGGGUGUUGGAGCUGGAGCCUGGGGGUGGAGCCAUUGCUGCCAUUGAAGUGUGAGAGUCAUUGAGCUGGAAGUCCAGGAAGCAGCUGGUGCUGCUGUUCUAGUUUGAGGGUUGUGGAGUGCAGACCCAGGCAGGAGCAACAUUGCUGUAGUUCGAGGGUCAGAAAGCUGGCGACCCAGGGAGGAGAGGUCUUGUUCUAGUUUGAGGGUCGUGGAGCUGCCGACCCAGGGAGGAGCAAUUUUGUUGUAAUUCGAGGAUCAGGAAGCUGGCGACCCAGUGGAGGAGAGGUCUUGUUCUGGUCUGAGGGUCGUGGAGCUGCAGACCCAGGGAGGAGCAAUUUUGUUGUAAUUCAAGGGUCCGGAAGCUGGUGACCCAGGGAGGAGAGGUCUUGUUCUGGUCUGAGGGUCCUGGAGCUACAGACCCAGGGAGGAGCAAUGUUGUUGUAAUUUGAGGGUUCGGUAGCUGGCACCCUGGGGAGGAGAAGUCUUGUUCUAGUUUGAGGGUGGUGGAGCUGCAGAGCCAGGGAGGAGCAGUGUUGUUGUAGUUUGAGGGUCAUGGAGGUACAGACCCAGGGAGGAGCCGUGUUGUUUUGAGUGUCGUGGAGCCGGAGAUCCACGGAGGAGCUGG
rnacentral:lncRNA from 1 species